rnacentral:lncRNA from 1 species
GGCGGGGACCCCACAGACCGCCGGCGGCAGCGCGUGGCCGCACCCCCGGGCAACGGUCUGUGGACGGCUGGCUCUAUAGGCCGGGCUGGUUACCCUGGCAACCAACACCGCGUGCGGCGGCGCCUCCAGCUCGUCUAGUGCCGCCCAAACUCUCUCCCCCUCCCCCAUCGCCGUCGGCCGUGGUGCCCCCACCCCCCCGUGAAGGGACCUGCUGCGGGCGAGCAAUGGAGAAUACAACUUCAAGUAUAGAAUCUGAAUACAUCAAGAACCUCCAGCAACAAAUCUACUUCCUUGAACUGGAAGCCAAUUUUCUAUAUCCUUCAAUAUACCUUGCUAAAAAAUGAGAUAAAUAUACCGUACUCAAGAAAAACUUAUCUUGGAAAUACAGUAAGAUCACACAAGCUGAGUAAAACAUUUUAACUGUUUAGUGUUAUUUUGAUUAAAGAAAAACUUUUUCAGCACUUUAUGUAAUUAAUUUAAAAUCACUUUUUGAUCUUAACUUUCCAUUAUUACGCGUGAACAGACGAAAAAAGCCACUAGUCUUCAACCCCGCAUUACCUCUGAAACUGAACACUUGCUUCAAAAGCUACAGGUACAUUUUUCCAGUUAUACAACUUUAUUUUCAUGCGAACAACUCUGUGUUCCAUUCUGUUUCUAUCAAGUACUGUAGCUUUUUUGCACUUUGGGUUUUUUUUGUCUUUUGGGUUUUUUUUGUAAAUAAAGUGAAUUAUUGUGUCGACUUGAAAUAGCA